CCAGAGGAGAAUGCCCGGCCCAGUCAGUCCCAUCAAAGCUGAGAAGUUUCUGCACACUCAGUGGGCAGUUUGCUGGGAUUAUCAGUCUUGGCCCCGGGCCUGGGGUGGGUGUGGGGAGAGGAGCUCCGAGCUGUGACUUUGUUUGCUCUCCCCGCUCAUUCUUUCACCUCUCUCACUCAGGCCUGUUGUGGCUGACUGUGGCUGCUGAGAGUGGAGGUGGGGAAGGGGCAGUCAUAAUAAUGGUGGUGGUGAUGAUUUUUAUAAAGCUAACGUGAUUGAGCACAGACGCUGCGCCACACGCUGAGCUUGCGGCUUUGGUGGCUCUCCAGACCUGAGUCCACCCGAGAUGGGAACUGAGACUGGGAGGAGCAAGGACAGACCAGCUGGGGUUGCCCUGAGGUUCAGCAGGGAGUCUGGCUAGAUGGACGGUCCUUCUCAGUUUAAGACCCAACCAGCUGUGGAAAGGAUGAGGCAGGCUUGCCUCGUGACAUCUAGUGGCUUCUGUGGUUGAUGCAUGAGACCCACGUUUUUCUGUCUAACUCCAGUUCACCAGUUAAAUUCGAACAUUUGAAUUUCCUUGAUGCAGUUUGAAGGGGACAACUGAUGAAGUCAGAUGUGUUUAUGAAGGUGAUCAAAAGGAAGUAGAUGCUAUGCAAAUGAAAAAAAAUACUGGACUAAUCAUUUCUGUGGUUGUUUAUAAAUUUAAAAAUGAAAAUACUUCGCAAGUAUGGAGAUAAGCACGUGACCAUCUUCUCUUUAACAAAAUCAUGAGCUGUCAAAGGUCUCAAAAGUAACUAGUUUUAUGAGGCAAAUGCAAGAAGAACCAGAAAUAAUGAUAAGCUAGAACUUAUUAGAGAUUUACUUGAAAUCUGGAGUCAGUCUUUCUAAGAUGGAUCUGCCCCAGGUUCCUGCAUGACAGUCAGUUGCAUGUGGAAGACGUUGGUCAUUCUGAGUUUAUAUGCCUUCGAAGUUAGGGAAAUACGGAAUGAAAAUUUGCUAUGUUUAAAUCAUUAAAUUUUGUAAUAAAGUUUUAAAAACUAUCCCUUUUUUAUUACUUCUGUAAAUUACUCAUAAAAAUAAAAA
rnacentral:lncRNA from 1 species